rnacentral:rRNA from 1 species
UGGGGAAUAUUGCACAAUGGAGGGAACUCUGAUGCAGCGACGCCGCGUGAACGAAGAAGGCUUUCGAGUCGUAAAGUUCUUUUAUAUGGGAAGAUAAUGACGGUACCAUAAGAAAAAGCCCCGGCUAACUACGUGCCAGCAGCCGCGGUAAUACGUAGGGGGCUAGCGUUGUCCGGAAUUAUUGGGCGUAAAGGGUGCGCAGGCGGCUUUACAAGUUGGAUGUGAAAUAUUGUGGCUCAACCACAAACGUGCAUCCAAAACUGCAAAGCUUGAGUUAAGGAGAGGUAAGUGGAAUUCCUGGUGUAGCGGUGGAAUGCGUAGAUAUCAGGAGGAAUACCGGUGGCGAAGGCGACUUACUGGACUUAAACUGACGCUCAGGCACGAAAGCGUGGGGAGCAAACAGG